UGCCGAACACGAAGGAAUCGAGAAUGAAGGGCAAAGGAGAUAGGGAUAGAUUGCCAACUGCCUAAGUUCAACCUGAUCCCAUGGAAUAUUUCUGGGCCGCACUAAAUUCAAUGCUCUUGACUCAAGAAGGUUGAGAAGCUGCUUCUACUUAUUCAAGCUUGUGAGUAUUCCAAGAAAAACAGUAUCUGUGUUUUUCUGUAGAGUGCACAACGCCGCUCACACACUCUGCUUCACUCAGCAAAACCACCACCCGAGAGGCCCAUCUUACUCAUCUCUGCCCACAGCAGAAGAAACUGAGGCCCGGAGGCUGGAGGGGUCUGCUCAGGACUGUCCCUGUACCAACAUCAGAGGGGACUCGGGGACAGGAGCCUCUCACCGGCCUCCUCACCUCAGGAGAGGACAGUGAAGACUGGGAGAGGGCUUGUCAGGCCUUUCGUAUUUAUUCUCAUGACGGCUGCCAUGGAGACAACGCCAACCACCAUGGGCUGGGCACUUUGCCAGGUGUCGCUGACGAUUCUAUAGCCGUCCUGGAGCUCCGCUUAGAAGACGGUGGUUCGGGACCGCUGUGGGCAGCCGACCUCUCUUCCUCUGCGUUCUCCGUGUGCCUCUCUUGCACCCAGCCCGUGAUCAGACAGCAGCGUCGUGAAACCAUAUUACGUUCGUUCCUUGCUAAACGCCUUCCCAGAUAACCUGAUUCUCUCCGCUGCUUAUUAAAGGUAACAAAGACACUUGAGUGAAGACCAAGUGAAGUGACAUAGGCACAGCAGGUGUCACGGAAACUGGUCCAUGGUGCUGGCUCUCCACUCUCUGCCCAGUGAACAAAGAAAUAGAAUUUGUUCUUGGUCGAGGUUCAGCCUCAGGGCCGGGCUGCGGAGCCGAGCCCCGAUUGCUCCCAGCAUCCAAGAUAGCAUCUCGCUCUGUCCUUGUCCCUCCACGAUGAGUCAACGGGCCGCUCGGGCCAUUCCCGGAGGGGAGCCGGACCUUGCUUCAGUGACCGCGACAACAGAGCUCCAGGUCACGGCGAGACAAUCCAGCUUGCGCUCCUUCCCUCCCCCCACUCCCAGCGCGCCCAGUGCCCAUGACUAGGGUGUUUUGUGUCAUCCUGCAGUUUGGCACGACCUCUGCAUUUCCUGCCAAUAAUGCUGGCUGUUGUUUCUGAGCAAAUG